AUACGGAGGGUGCAAGCGUUGUUCGGAAUCACUGGGCGUAAAGGGCGCGCAGGCGGUUUGAUUAGUCAGAUGUGAAAGCCCACGGCUUAACCGUGGAAGUGCAUUUGAAACUGUCAGACUUGAGUAUCAGAGGGGAAAGUGGAAUUCCCGGUGUAGAGGUGAAAUUCGUAGAUAUCGGGAGGAAUACCGGUGGCGAAGGCGACUUUCUGGCUGAAUACUGACGCUGAGGCGCGAAAGCGUGGGGAGCAAACAGAAUUAGAAACCCCAGUAGUCC
rnacentral:rRNA from 1 species